GACGGAGGAUGCAAGCGUUAUCCGGAAUGAUUGGGCGUAAAGCGUCCGCAGGUGGCAGUUCAAGUCUGCUGUCAAAGACCGGGGCUUAACUUCGGAAAGGCAGUGGAAACUGAACAGCUAGAGUAUGGUAGGGGCAGAGGGAAUUCCCUGGUGUAGCGGGUGAAAUGCGUAGAGAUCAGGAAGAACAUCGGUGGCGAAGGCGCUCUGCUGGACCAUAACUGACACUCAGGACGAAGCUA
rnacentral:rRNA from 1 species